AGUGAACGCUGGCGGUAGGCCUAACACAUGCAAGUCGAACGGCAGCACAGUAAGAGCUUGCUCUUACGGGUGGCGAGUGGCGGACGGGUGAGGAAUACAUCGGAAUCUACUUUUUCGUGGGGGAUAACGUAGGGAAACUUACGCUAAUACCGCAUAUGACCUACGGGUGAAAGCAGGGGAUCUUCGGACCUUGCGCGAUUGAAUGAGACGAUGUCGGAUUAGCUAGUUGGCGGGGUAAAGGCCCACCAAGGCGACGAUCCGUAGCUGGUCUGAGAGGAUGAUCAGCCACACUGGAACUGAGACACGGUCCAGACUCCUACGGGAGGCAGCAGUGGGGAAUAUUGGACAAUGGGCGCAAGCCUGAUCCAGCCAUACCGCGUGGGUGAAGAAGGCCUUCGGGUUGUAAAGCCCUUUUGUUGGGAAAGAAAAGCAGCAGGUUAAUACCCCGCUGUUCUGACGGUACCCAAAGAAUAAGCACCGGCUAACUUCGUG
rnacentral:rRNA from 1 species